ensembl:rRNA 5S_rRNA 5S ribosomal RNA
ACCUACGACCAUAUCACCCUGAAUGUGCCCGAGCUGGUCUAAUCUCGGAAGCUAAGCAUGGUCGAGCCUGGUUAGUGCUUGGAUGGGAGACUGCCUGGGAAUACCAGGUGUUGUAGGCU